rnacentral:rRNA from 1 species
UACGAAGGGGGCUAGCGUUGCUCGGAAUUACUGGGCGUAAAGCGCACGUAGGCGGUUUCUUAAGUCGGUGGUGAAAUCCUGGAGCUCAACUCCAGAACUGCCUUCGAUACUGGGAAACUUGAGUCCGGGAGAGGUGAGUGGAACUGCGAGUGUAGAGGUGAAAUUCGUAGAUAUUCGCAAGAACACCAGUGGCGAAGGUGGCUCACUGGCCCGGUACUGACGCUGAGGUGCGAAAGCGCGGGGAGCAAACAGG